CCUACGGGAGGCAGCAGUGAGGAAUAUUGGUCAAUGGACGAGAGUCUGAACCAGCCAAGUAGCGUGAAGGAUGACUUCCCUAUGGGUUGUAAACUUCUUUUAUAUGGGAAUAAAACGUUCCACGUGUGUGAUUUUGUAUGUACCAUAUGCAACAGGAUCGGCUAACUCCGUGCCAGCCGCCGCGGUAAUACGGAGGAUCCGAGCGUUAUCCGGAUUUUUUGGGUUUAACGGGAGCGUAGAUGGGUUGUUAAGUCAGUUGUGAAAGUUUGCGGCUCAACCGUAAAAUUGCAAUUGAUACUGGCAGUCUUGAGUACAGUUGAGGUAGGCGGAAUUCGUGGUGUAGCGGUGAAAUGCUUAGAUAUAACGAAGAACUCCGAUUGCGAAGGCAGCUUACUAAACUGCCACUGACAUUGAUGCUCGAAAGUGUGGGUAUCAAACAGGAUUAGAUACCCGUGUAGUC
rnacentral:rRNA from 1 species